rnacentral:lncRNA from 1 species
UGUUGCAGCUCGGAUGAGCUGUGCUCUUCUGAAAGAUUUACCAAGCUCUGGUUCAGCUUUAACGCUGGUUCAAGAGUCCAUGAACUGGGUGUCUUUCUGAUGAAGCUGAGAUAUAAGAUAUUCUCCAGAAAAUCACAUUCAGAAGAUGGUCUAGCUGAUAAUAGGCAUCCCCAUGGAGCUAUGGAGGAGCAAAAAGAACUGCUAAUACAGAGCUAUUAA